rnacentral:rRNA from 1 species
GUGUCAGCCGCCGCGGUAAUACGUAGGAGGCGAGCGUUGUCCGGAGUUACUGGGCGUAAAGCGCGCGCAGGCGGUCAGAUUAGUCUGUCGUGACAGUCGUCGGCUCAACUGACGAAGUACGAUGGAAACUGUUUGACUUGAGGGCUUCAGAGGGACACGGAAUUCCGGGUGGAGUGGUGAAAUGCGUAGAUAUCCGGAGGAACACCAAAGGCGAAGGCAGUGUCCUGGGAAGUACCUGACGCUCAGGUGCGAAAGCUAGGGGAGCGAACAGGAUUAGAAACCCUCGUAGUCC